UCACUUUGAUGUUUUCCAGGAGUUGGCUUAGUAAAGGAGACAUAUGUUUUUCAUGCAAGAUUCUCUCAAAGCACUCCAGAUGCUCAUCAGAACUCAGAACUCCUUUCUGAGAACCUCAUCAUGGUGAGUAUAUGAACAUAGAGAUUUUUUACCAAUGUGCAAGGUGAAGCUUCACCUCAGUAGUAACAGUCUAUUUCCUAGCCCAGAGUGAAGAUCUCUGGGAAUGUUUUUUGUAGCUUAACAGUCAUGGAAAGCUGCCCUCCGCAAAUCAUCUCACUGUGGGCCCAUCACUGUUUAAUGCUCCAAGAAAGGAGGGCAAUUGAGAGCAGCUUCUUCCACUUGUGUUCAAUGGAGACAAUGCUAUGAACAGUCCCAUCAUUGUUUUGAAAGAUGAUGAUUAACAGAGAAGUCACUUGAACUGCCUGAUUGAUUCUCAUUUGUGGACGGUUGGACGACAAGUUUGCACAUCUCUCAGACCUGGAAUUCAUUGUGGAUUCCUCUGAUGUCACAGCUCAUGAAGGCAGAGUAGAAACACACCAGAGGAGAGCACAUUCCCUUUCAUUUCAGAGUUAUUUAUGACAACUUAAUAUCCGAAACUUGAAAAGACUUGAAAGUAUGUAUUUUCUUUUGAGAGAGCAUGAACCUUUGACUUUUCCUUCUGGAAGAAAUAAAAGAUGGAAAAACUUUAUUUCCAUCUUCACCAUGGGUUUAAUUACUUUGGGGGUUUUGCAUGUGCUUUUGGUCUAUUUGGCAAUCGUGUUUAUGAAUCACCUGAAGAACAAGUACACAAGCAAUUACAAAUGACUUUGACAGACAAAGAGAAUUGUGAAACAUUUGUACUUCAUAUAGCUCAAUUUUAGCUGUCUGAAACUUCCUGAUGUUUGGAAUAUUAUCAUGACGUAAAAUAAUACAGGUAAUGUAAAAUGUUUUGUUUUUAAUGACUAAGUCUAAUAUUCUAUAAACAUUCUAUAUGGAAUACCAAUCAUAAUGGAAAACUGUUUUAUGUGCUGCAAGAAUAUUUGUUUCUUCUUCUUUUUGUGUGUUUUUCUUGUGUACCCUAUCUAAAUAUAACCACAGCAACAAAGUCCUUGUGUAUGUAUGGUAAAUUAAUU
rnacentral:lncRNA from 1 species